CCCUUAGAUGUUCUGGGCCGCACGCGUGCUACACUGAGUGGAUCAGCGGGUCAGGUUGCGCGAAAGCGUUUCCUAAUCUUUAAAUCCGCUCGUGAUGGGGAUUGACGGUUGCAAUUUUCUGUCAUGAACGAGGAAUACCUUGUAAGCGCGGGUCAUCAUCCCGCGCUGAAUACGUCCCUGCCCUUUGUACACACCGCCCGUCGCUCCUACCGAUUGAGUGGUCCGGUGAGGCCUCGGGAUUGUGGUUCUUGCCGCUUUAUUGUGGCGUGACCGCGAGAACUUGUCUAAACCUUAUCAUCUAGAGGAAGGUGAAGUCGUAACA
rnacentral:rRNA from 1 species